CUUUCCUCAUCCAAUACUGUGACGGCCGCCCCCAAAUCCCACGCCUCCAUCUCCAGCUCUACCUCCGGCCGCGCCCCCUCCGCAGCUCUCCGCGCACUGGGGCCGGAGGACCCGGGGCUCGUGCAUCCAGCAACGGCGGGAUGCGGCGGCGCGGAACUCCCGAGGCCCCCGGCGCAGGCAGCCUGACUCCCGGGGGCGGGCCGGCCGUCGCGUCCUCCCUCACCACCCGCCGCUGCAGCUAGGAGGACGCAGCUGCCAUGGCUCCUGGGGCGGCGUCCUGGGCUCCCUUCCAUGGCUGCGGCUCCUGGGGCGGCUUCAUGGGCAAAGGCCCCUUCCAUGGCUGCGGCGCGUGGGGGCCCUCCUUGCAGUGUAUACCCCAUUGGAACAAUCAUCCUAGUUGUUUUACUAAACAUAUCCUUGUUGCUUUUGUAAUACUGUUAUAUAAAUUAACUGAAUCUAAUUGCUUGUGCAAGCAGCCAGUAUGGUUCGAUUCAGCUUUCCUUUCAUUAUUUUGUGCCUGUAAGGCGUGUUAGCAUGUAUGCACAAAAAGAAAUCAGAGUGCUUCCUGCUGUCUCGUUUUUUGCAUAUAUACUAGAUGAACUGAAGCACUGUCCAUGCAUGCCUAGUAGUUCGAAAGCAAAUGUGAGUGAUAACAUUUUAUUGAAAGGAGACUAUUGUGUACAUCUCGGUUUUUAUUGUCAAUUUUCUUGUCAUGCUUGGCACAGCUUUGUGGAGCUUCUACAGAGAUAACAUGUUUCUGCACUGAAGUAGUAUUUGAAGAAUAAGUAGUUAUCUUUCUUUCUUUACUGCAGUAUUGUCUUUUGUACACAAUGCUACAUGCUUGUCUAGGCCUUUGUCUUUUGUUCAGGCUAAUAAUUAAUACCUACAAUUCUUGUUUGGGAGCUGAUUAACAAGCCACGAUGCCAUUCAGAUCCAUCAGGUGACGCAUUGCAGGUCCUUUAGUUCUACUUUAUUACUGUUUUGUCUCCUUUUAAUUCUGUACGCUGCACAUGUGUUAACACUUUUUUCAGAUGGGAUGUGAAUGUGGUAUGCUAGAACAUCAGCACUGGCAGAUCCUGAUGAAAUUCCAGAGUCAGGCAACGGGUUCAUCUCAUGUUGCUCGGAGUCCACUAACAGCAUGGAUGUUAAUGGCCACAAUGGUGAGGAUCUCGGCGGCACAAACAUUGAUAACAUUCAUGGCAGCAACCAACAUUGUGGAAACAAUGAAUUGUCUGAUGAUGCAGCUUGAUUAGAUUGGAAGCAAUGCAUGGUCUGAUGGUGCAGCUUCAUCUUCUGAUGAAUGACAGCUCACAGUUCAACUUUUGCAGUGUUGCGCCUAUAUAUGCAUGCAUGCACUUUGGUAGAUUGGUAGUAUAACUCUAGAUAGUAAUAUUAUGCUAGAAGUUUAUGGGUUUGGUGGGAUGCUUGUUUUGCUAACUGUGUACAGGUUGAUGCCAACAACAUUUGGACAUGAUGUCAUCAUAUCUAUGUAAUGGUAAAUGUGGAUUUUAUGUGCCAUUCGAUUAUGAAUUCUUUUGAACA